UCCUACGGGGGGCAGCAGUGAGGAAUAUUGGUCAAUGGGCGAGAUCCUGAACCAGCCAAGCCGCGUGAGGGAAGACGGCCCUAUGGGUUGUAAACCUCUUUUGUCGGAGAACAAAACCCGGGACGUGUCCCGGACUGCGUGUAUCCGAAGAAAAAGCAUCGGCUAACUCCGUGCCAGCAGCCGCGGUAAUACGGAGGAUGCGAGCGUUAUCCGGAUUUAUUGGGUUUAAAGGGUGCGUAGGCGGUCCGUUAAGUCAGCAGUAAAAUUGCGGGGCUCAACCCCGUCCAGCCGUUGAAACUGGCAGG
rnacentral:rRNA from 1 species